UCUUUUGUCUGCUCAAUGCCUUUAUCCUUUAACUCUCUCUCUUGCUCUCGCCUCUCGCCUGACGCUGACGCAGCGACGCUUGCCUGAGCUCUCGCCGUCGCUCACCAGUCACGGCAAACCAACGCUCUUUGCCAGUGAAUUAUUUUAAGCUUCCAGCAUCUCAAGUAGAAACUUUUCCGGCAUGGAAGUGGUGGGUGCAGUGGUGGGUGCGGUUUUUGGAGCACUAGUGAUAAAACCUGCCAAUCUUCUCUGUAGCUGUGUCGGUUCUAAGACCAAGACCACUCUCAAUCUGCAAUCAAAUAUUGCUGCCGUUGAGAAGGAGAUGGAAAGCCUUGUGGUUCAUAGAGAGGAAGUCAACCAUGAAAAGGAAGCAGCUGAGAAGGAAGGAAAGGAAAUCAGAGCUCAAGUUGUAACUUGGCUUGAGGAUGUUGAAAAACUUCAGCUUAGAGUCAAUCCAAUUCAGGGAAAGAAGCCUUCUGCAUGUUUCUUAAAUUGCAGUAAGCGGUACAGAGAAAGCAACGAAGUUGAAGGAAUACUGGAAGAGAUAAAAAGGCUUCUAGAAGUUGGAAAUUUUGAAUCUGGUGUGGCGUAUUCUACUAGAAUUCCCAGAGCAGUGGAGCAUAAACCUGGACCUUCAAUUCAGGGUCAAACAACAGCAUCCAAAAAUUUAGUCGAAACUUUGAAGGUACUGCAUGAUGACAAAGUCCGGAGGAUUGGUAUUUGGGGAAUGGGAGGAGUAGGCAAGACUACUCUAGUGAAGAACUUGAACAAUGAGCUUGAGAAUGCUUCUACGCAGCCUUUUGGCAUCAUCAUUUGGGUUACCGUUACCAGGAAUUUGGUCAUUAAAAAUGUCCAGACACGGAUAGCUGAGAGAUUGAAUUUGGAGGUUAAGAUAGAAGAAAGCGUGGAGGGAACGGCUAGCUGAAUUUAUCAAAGGCUUGAGAGAGAGAAAAAUUUUCUACUCAUUCUAGAUGAUGUUUGGAAGGAAAUUGAAUUGGGCGAAUUGGGUGUCCCUCAACCUGAAGAUCAUAAGGGUUAUAAGGUCAUAUUGACAUCUCGACGUAUGGAAGUAUGUAGGAAUAUGACGACUAAUGUUGAAAUUAAAAUCGACGUUUUGAAUGAUGACGAAGCAUGGCAAUUGUUUAGUCAAAAGGCAGCGAUAGAGGCCGACCAUUUUGAACAAAUUAGGCCAUUUGCAGAAGCAAUAGCAAGAGAAGGUUGUGGAUUGCCACUGGCCAUCAUCACCAUGGGAGCUGCCAUGAGAAGAAAGACAAAGGUCGAGCUGUGGAAAAAUGCCUUAACAGAGUUGCGAAGAUCAGUGCCUCCUACAGAAGACAUUGAAGCUAAGGUGUUUGAGCGUUUGAAGUGGAGUUAUGACUCAUUAGAAGGUAACAAUAUAAAAUCUUGUUUCCUUUAUUGCUCUUUGUUUCCUGAGGACUUUUCCAUUAAAAUAAGUGAACUAGUAAAUUACUGGAAGGCAGAAGGUUUGAUAGAUGAAGGACAGAAUUAUGAGGAUUCAGUCAAUAGAGGAAUAACUUUAAUUGAAAAUCUCAAAGACUCUUGUUUGUUGGAAGAUGGUGGCCAUGAGGGCACUGUAAAGAUGCAUGACGUUGUUCGUGAUGUUGCUAUAUGGAUAGCAUCAUCGUUUGGGGAUACAGGUAAAUCCCUUGUUCGUUCAGGGAUGGACUUAAGUGAGAUUUCAGUUGGAGAGUUUUCAAAUUCAGAUUCUCUCAAAAGAGUUUCUUUUAUGAAUAACAAAAUAACAAGGCUACCUGAUUCCAUGAUACAAUGUUCAGAGGCCUCAACUCUUCUACUACAAAACAAUCGUACCCUUGACACAGUUCCUGAGACAUUCCUACAAGGAUUUAAAGCACUUAGGGUAUUAAAUCUCAGUGAAACUGACAUCCGGUCAUUGCCUCAAUCUCUGCUUCAACUCAAUGACCUUCGUGCUCUUUUUUUAGGCAGCUGCAGAUUUCUUGAAGAACUACCCCCACUGGGAAUGCUUAGUAAACUUCAAAACCUUGAUCUUAGUUACACUCGUAUCACAGAAUUGCCAAGAGAGAUGGAAAGCUUGAGCCAGCUAAGGCAAUUAAACAUAUCCAACAUACAUGAGCUAAAAACCAUUCGACCGGGAAUUAUAUCCAGAUUGUCUUGUUUAGAGAUUCUAAAGAUGUCACAUAGUGGAUUUCGUUUCCGUUUGAAGGGAGAGGAAGACGGACAGGCAACUUUUGAAGAGCUCAGAUCCCUUAAUCGAUUAGUUGACUUAUCCCUCACAUUGAAUAGGAUCCCAUGUGACAGUUCUGAAGAUCCUUCGUGGAUAAAAAGAUUAAGAACAUUUCAUUUUCAGAUUAUCCAAUCCCAAACAAAUGGCUUACUAAGAACACGUGACAAAAUUAGCGAUAUGAAUGGUCUUAAUCUCUCACAAGAAUCAAUUGGGUGGUACUGGGGUAAUUCAAGUUCUCUGCGUUCAGAUCGUUGCCAGAUGCUGACUGAAAUGUUUGAAGACUUUAUUAAAAGUGCUGCCAGCUUUUCUGAUUUAAAGUCACUUACAAUUUGCAACUGUACAAUCAGUAUAGGGCGAGGAGGAUGUGCUGUUCGCUGUGACCUACUACCAAACUUAGAGGUACUUGAGCUCUUUGCUGUGAUUGGCCUACAAAGUAUUUCAGAGCUGGCUGGUCAUCUUGGGCUAAGAUUUCAUAAUCUAAAAUCAAUUGGAUUGCGAGGUUGUUCUGAGAUGAAAUAUCUUAUCUCCUGUGGUGCCUUUAUUCAGACCCUACCAAACUUGGAAGUAAUCAAAAUAAGACGUUGUAAUGACAUAGAUGAGCUCUUUAAUUGUGAUUCAGGGCAGAAUAGGACUUCAGAUCCUGUCGUUCCAAACCUGCGAAAAUUGGUAUUGGAGCACCUUCCCAAAUUGAUAACUCUUUGUAGACACGAAGAGACAUGGCCGUGUCUAGAGCAGGUAGAAGUGGUUAGGUGCAAACAUCUCAGAAGGCUACCUCUUACUAACCAAAAUGCAGGUACCAUGAAAGAAAUAAUAGGAGAUUCACAAUGGUGGGAUGCUUUGGAGUGGGAUGAUGACCAAACCAAAUCAAGUCUGCUGCCUUUUUUCCAUCCAAGGUAGUUGGAAUUAGUGGAGGGAUUUUUAGUGGCUUUGGUCUAAAUAAGGGCUUUGGAACUAAGUUGCCAUAGUGAUUGUGUUUGAAAAUUGAACGAAGACUCAUUGAGUGAGUUAAGAGUUUGUUCAUUAUCUUAAGUAUGAUAAUACCAUAAGCUCGAGAGUUUGUUAAUUAUGAGAGUGUGAGAAAAGAAAACCAAUGAGUGUAUUUGGAUUUUUUUUUUUUUUCUUUUUUUUUUUUCUUUUUUUUUUUUGUGGUUGGUGCUGGAUGCAUGUAUUGGGAAUUCAGAAUUAUUGAGUUUCAUGUUUGUGUGUU